rnacentral:rRNA from 1 species
GAUGAACGCUGGUGGCGUGCCUAAUACAUGCAAGUCGAGCGAAUGGAUUAAGAGCUUGCUCUUAUGAAGUUAGCGGCAGACGGGUGAGUAACACGUGGGUAACCUGCCCAUAAGACUGGGAUAACUCCGGGAAACCGGGGCUAAUACCGGAUAACAUUUUGAACCGCAUGGUUCGAAAUUGAAAGGCGGCUUCGGCUGUCACUUAUGGAUGGACCCGCGUAGCAUUAGCUAGUUGGUGAGGUAACGGCUCACCAAGGCAACGAUGCGUAGCCGACCGGAGAGGGUGAUCGGCCGCACUGGGGCUGAGACACGUCCCAGACUCCUACGGGCGGCAGCAGUAGGGAAUCUUCCGCAAUGGACGAAAGUCUGACGGAGCAACGCCGCGUGAGUGAUGAAGGCUUUCGGGUCGUAAAACUCUGUUGUUAGAGAAGAACAAGUGCUAGUUGAAUAAGCUGGCACCUUGACGGUACCUAACCAGAAAGCCACGGCUAACUACGUGCCAGCCGCCGCAGUAA